rnacentral:rRNA from 1 species
GACAGAGGCCUCGAGCGUUAGGCGGAAUCACUGGGCUUAAAGCGUGUGUAGGCGGGCCCGUAAGUGUCUUGUGAAAUCCCACGGCUCAACCGUGGAACUGCUGGGCAUACUGCGGGUCUUGGGCCAACUAGGGGCAGCCGGAACAAGCGGUGGAGCGGUGAAAUGCGUAGAUAUCAGGAGGAACACCGGUGGCGAAGGCGGGUCUCUGGGCAACAACUGACGCUGAGGAGCGAAAGCGUGGGGAGCGAACAGG